rnacentral:lncRNA from 1 species
AAUAUACUGUAAUAAAAUUUGUGUGAAUGUGGUCUUUCAAAAAUGUUUUAUACUCACCUUAUGAUGAUGUGAUAUGAUACAAUGUCAAAGGUAAUGAGAAUAAAUGAGGUGAAUGAUGUAGGUAUUGUGACAGCAUUAGGCUACUAUAUAAGCAUAAUGUGAACACAAUCAUGCAAUCCCACAAGAGUUACUAAGGGACUAACUUGGGAGAUGUAUACAAUGUGAAUAUGCUGGACAAGGAUAAUUCAUGUCGUAGGCUGGACGUAGCAGGAAUUAUAAGAUUUCAUCACGCCACUCAAAAUAAUGUACAAUCUAAAAUUUAUAAAUUGUUUAUCUCUGGAAAUUUCCACUCGACGUUCAGACUGGUUGAUUUCAGGUAACUAUAAUCACAGAAAGCAAAACCACAGAAAAGGGGGGAACUUCUAUACAUUAACACCCUAAAUACUUGGAGAAACAUAGUAGAGUUUACCCUGAAGAACAGAGAAAUCUAAUAUUCCUGAGAAGGGGAAAAUACAGUGUUCCUCAAUUUUAGCACAUCAUGGCAUACAAAGAAAAUUGUAAAAGAAAUUUUUUGUUAUAAUGCUGGCAAUGUUGACAUUGCUUGGGUAUAAAGCCAAAUACUGUAUGACACUUAAACCAAGAGAAGGUUGUAAAAGAUCUUGAAGGAAAAAAUGUAAAGAUUUAGUGACCGUGACUUUUAGGAAGGUAUAGUGGUAGAUAUCAAGGACAAGGGAGAUAGUAUCAAAGAAAAUACCCAGGUGAUUUAGACUGGUGGUCUGAAACAUAAAGUGGGAAAACCAUCUAUAGAGACAGGAAAAUCAAAAGGGUGGAUGUGAAUGGAUAGAGAAGAGAGUGAGCCAGAAAAGUUGUGAAAAGGACUGACAGUGGAAUCCAGGUGAAAUUUUCUGGUAGUAUAUUGGCAGUAAAGGAAGGGAUGGUGAAAGGAAUCAAUUUCAAACAUAUAUCUCCCAGUUAAUGUUCAGUGAAGACAGAGAAAUGAUAGCUGAUGGUAAAAGAGUGCAACUGGAUAAGAGGAAAAACUUCUAUGGCACAAUAGGAUAACUGUGGUUGGCAAGUUAAUUGUGUAUUUCAAAAAAUAGCUAGUAGGAUUUUGAAUGCUCCCAACACAAAGAAAUAAUAAUGUUUAAGGUUGUGGAUAUGCCAAUUACCUUAUCAGGUCAUUGUACAUUAUAUACAUAUUUUGAAAUAUCACACUGUACCCCAUAAAUAUGUAUAAAAACUGCCGAUUUGAAAGGGCUUAUAAAAGAUAUAUGCUGAGGAAUGUUCUGACAAAAAGUUAGAUGAUCUUGUUACCACAGAUGAGAAUAGCAAAGAAAAGAAUGACUACAAACAAAAGCAGAAUUGAAGCAUGAUUUCACUGUGGGCCCAGUGACUGCACACUGAACAAGACAACUCCUUGUGGUUACACCAUCUGAUAAGAUUCUGUUCAGAACAUUACCACAUGUGCAUUGUUAGUUCUGUGUGAUUCAUAUUAAUCUGAUGUUGAUCUUUAAUAUACUCCUCUGUUUACUAAAAGUGAUAAUAUUGCCAUAGAUUCUGUGACUCGAUCAGGUAUCAUCAGAACUUUUUGUUGUUACAUAAAUCUCUUAAUACUCCACAUGACUAGAGAAUGACAACUGAGAAAAGCUCAUUGGCUAAAUGCUGUAACUGUGAAAUUCUUCACAACUUCUUAGUAUUAUAAGGAAUCCAAAUACCUCCUUCAUUCUAAGGAGGAAAAAGAGGCCCCACAAAAAGACUGGAGGCUGAAUAUUCUCUCUUAUUUGUGGAUGCUAAUCUCAAACAGAGGAGGUUGGGGAGGGGAAUAAUAGAAAUAGAUUGGAC